UUCCUCACUGAGCAGAGAGCCCCAUGUGGGGCUUGAUCCCAGGACCCUGAGAUCAUGACCUGAGCCGAAGGCAGAGGCUUAACCCACUGAGCUACCCAGGCGCCCCUGUAUCUCUGAAGUAUUAAUGCACACUUUUUAUUAAAGUCUGUAAGAUAAUUCCUUUUAUCCAUACUUUCAUAUAUACUAGAUAUUAACUCUUAACUCAUGUUACCCUGAUUAAAAAAAUUUUUAUUUUCAUGUCUUUGUAAAAAACUAGCAUUAUUGUUGAACCUCUUUUACAGUUUAAGUUCAAUGGGUACAUUUCUUUGUUUGAAAGGUACCUUUUCAUUUGUCGUCCCUGCAGUGUUUCUAUUUU